CAGUAGCCACGGUAAUACGAAGGGGGCUAGCGUUGUUCGGAUUCACUGGGCGUAAAGCGCACGUAGGCGGACCGAUCAGUCAGGGGUGAAAUCCCAGAGCUCAACUCUGGAACUGCCUUUGAUACUGUCGAUCUGGAGUAUGGAAGAGGUGAGUGGAAUUCCGAGUGUAGAGGUGAAAUUCGUAGAUAUUCGGAGGAACACCAGUGGCGAAGGCGGCUCACUGGUCCAUUACUGACGCUGAGGUGCGAAAGCGUGGGGAGCAAACAGGAUUAGAUACCCCUGUAGUCCCUGUCUCUUAUAA
rnacentral:rRNA from 1 species